ACAUAUGCAUCCAUCAAUUAUUCCUGGAGUCAGUCAAAAAUAAGAGGAUGGUUCUUAUAUGUGCUUCUCUUUCUGACUAGGAAACUUCCUGGACUAUUCCCCUUGGUCUCACUUCAUCAGCUCUCUGAGGAAGCCGUGUCUGACCACCUCUUUCCCAAGUCUGGAUUAGGGAAGACUCAAGAAUAAAUCAAAUUUCUUUGGUGAUCAGCAUACCAGACUUCAAUGAAUGCAGAAUUAUUAGAAAAGAAGUAGAUACAGGUAAAAGGAACAUAAUUUUCUGAUCUCUGCACUAUGAAUUUUAAAGCAAAGUCAGACUACUAACAGAAGAUAUGAGAAAAUUCUGGAAUGUAUGACUAAGGGGUAGACUGAGGAGAUAAAUUCAUGUGAGCCAUGUGACAAAGGAAAAUUUAAAUUGAGAUUAUUUGAGCUUUGAGUUAAUAGUCC
rnacentral:lncRNA from 12 species